rnacentral:lncRNA from 1 species
AAACCUUGCAAUCCAAUCAGGUUUAAACGAUAGAGUGAUAAGUAGUACCAAAUAAAACAUGGGUUAUCAAUCAAAUCAAGAUCAUGUUCAUCAGCUGGUUGGACAAAAUGUGAUCAGAUAAUCCGCCCCGGUGCAAGUCAUGGUACUAGUGGCGUCAUCGUAAGCAUAACUGUAAGCCGUAGGGCAUGCAUUUUUGAACAAUUGUGAGUACUUCGUAGGUGAGCAAGUCUGAGGCGUACCAUGUGCACCAGUGCAGCAAUAUUCCGGCAUGUUGAAGGCGGCACAGGCGCUUUUACAAGCGACGACAGAACCUGAGUCCAUCAUCUGUAACUCGGCGGGGCAAUUUGUGUUGAGGUCAUUGACGCAACCUGCAUAUUGGCAAGUCCCUGUACCACCAACUGCCUUGACUGCUACGGCCAUGUUGUAACCAUCUACGAGACUAAUGUCAUAAAAGUCCUUAUUGUCAUGUCCAUUAAGGGUGAAUUCGAUCAGGGAAACGGGUGGGAUGCCACCGCCGUUGCAUUUUAACGCGCCACCACAGUCACCGGUUACACAUUUGCCUGAGCCAGAGUUAUCGAAAUUGCAGCCAGUUCGACCCCAAAAGCGACCAGACCAACCAGGUGGAGGCUGGAGUCGGGAUGAUGAACCAGGAGCCAAUACAAAACCACCAUCACCA